rnacentral:rRNA from 1 species
CAAUGGCUGGACGCGCCAGGCGCACCCAGAAACCCUUUGUGAACUUAUACCUUACUGUUGCCUCGGCGCUAGCUGGUCCUUCGGGGCCCCUCACCCUCGGGUGUUGAGACAGCCCGCCGGCGGCCAACCUAACUCUUGUUUUUACACUGAAACUCUGAGAAUAAAACAUAAAUGAAUCAAAACUUUCAACAACGGAUCUCUUGGUUCUGGCAUCGAUGAAGAACGCAGCGAAAUGCGAUAAGUAAUGUGAAUUGCAGAAUUCAGUGAAUCAUCGAAUCUUUGAACGCACAUUGCGCCCUCUGGUAUUCCGGAGGGCAUGCCUGUUCGAGCGUCAUUUCAACCCUCAAGCCUGGCUUGGUGAUGGGGCACUGCUUUUACCCAAAAGCAGGCCCUGAAAUUCAGUGGCGAGCUCGCCAGGACCCCGAGCGCAGUAGUUAAACCCUCGCUCUGGAAGGCCCUGGCGGUGCCCUGCCGUUAAACCCCCAACUUCUGAAAAUUUGACCUCGGAUCAGGUAGGAAUACCCGCUGAACUUAAGCAUAUCAAA